rnacentral:rRNA from 1 species
GAUGAACGCUGGCGGCGUGCCUAAUACAUGCAAGUCGAACGCGCAGCGAAAGGUGCUUGCACCUUUCAAGCGAGUGGCGAACGGGUGAGUAACACGUGGAUAACCUGCCUCAAGGCUGGGGAUAACAUUUGGAAACAGAUGCUAAUACCGAAUAAAACUUAGUAUCGCAUGAUACAAAGUUAAAAGGCGCUACGGCGUCACCUAGAGAUGGAUCCGCGGUGCAUUAGUUAGUUGGUGGGGUAAAGGCUUACCAAGACGAUGACGCAUAGCCGAGUUGAGAGACUGGUCGGCCACAUUGGGACUGAGACACGGCCCAAACUCCUACGGGAGGCUGCAGUAGGGAAUCUUCCACAAUGGGCGCAAGCCUGAUGGAGCAACGCCGCGUGUGUGAUGAAGGCUUUCGGGUCGUAAAGCACUGUUGUAUGGGAAGAAAUGCUAAAAUAGGGAAUGAUUUUAGUUUGACGGUACCAUACCAGAAAGGGACGGCUAAAUACGUGCCAGCCGCCGCGGUAA